rnacentral:rRNA from 1 species
GAUGAACGCUGGCGGCGUGCCUAAUACAUGCAAGUCGAGCGAACAGACGAGGAGCUUGCUCCUCUGACGUUAGCGGCGGACGGGUGAGUAACACGUGGAUAACCUACCUAUAAGACUGGGAUAACUUCGGGAAACCGGAGCUAAUACCGGAUAAUAUAUUGAACCGCAUGGUUCAAUAGUGAAAGACGGUUUUGCUGUCACUUAUAGAUGGAUCCGCGCCGCAUUAGCUAGUUGGUAAGGUAACGGCUUACCAAGGCAACGAUGCGUAGCCGACCUGAGAGGGUGAUCGGCCACACUGGAACUGAGACACGGUCAAGACUCCUACGGGAGGCAGCAGUAGGGAAUCUUCCGCCAUGGGCGAAAGCCUGACGGAGCAACGCCGCGUGAGUGAUGAAGGUCUUCGGAUCGUAAAACUCUGUUAUUAGGGAAGAACAAAUGUGUAAGUAACUAUGCACGUCUUGACGGUACCUAAUCAGAAAGCCACGGCUAACUACGUG